CUUUGUUCAGCUCAAGGUAACAUCGGCCAAGUUCAUGGAACAACCAGGUCUUCUCCAGGCUGGAUUUUGCCAUUGGAAUCUUCUCCUCCCAACUUCAAGCAGAGACCCUCUAUAUUUUCUUUGGUGAUCAACAUGACACUAGGAUAAGUGUUGAGGAGUAGAGUUAAAGGACCAACAUCAGACUGAAAGUCAUAAAACCAAGUGAGCUGGAGCUGUUGUUCCCAGCCUCUAGAGUUGCUGCCUUCCCUGCUGACAGAAUCAAGAAGAGGCCUACCUAAUGGGAGCCAGCUGUGGUGAGUGAAUACCUGUCUUCCUGGACAGAACACCUACAUGGGAAACCGUUUCCCUGGGACAGGCCAAUUUGUACUUGAAUGGCACUUCAGAGCAAGAAAGUGUUGUGGAUUGGAUUGCAAUAUGGAAAUUGAGAGGGCUUUUACAUGCCUGGAAACUAGAUAGCCCACAUAUGGUAUUGUUAUCAUUAAUAAUUUAGAACCUGCCAGUAGACUAAAUUCUUAAUCAUUCUUCUGUUACGGGGUAAAUGCUUUCCUAGAAAAAUGACUACAUGGGGAUCACCUCUAUAUCUUGUUCUAAAAUAUGGUACUCGUCUGAAUCCUACAUCUUGAUCUUAACAGCAUGUAUAAUGAAACUGUGAAUGAGGUAUAAUCUUAUUAGCAAUGCCUUGCACUUUAAUACAAACCUUAGUGUAUUUUAUCAUUAUGCCAGAAAUGAAAUAAUUUGUAAUGAUAAAGUUUCUGCUUUUGAUUUCAUCAGCACAGAUUGAUUUGUUGCUAAACUGUGCAUUAGAAAAACCUGCUAUUUCAUUAGGAAGGAAACAUGUUCACCAAUGAAUGUUGGAUCUGGCUCCAAAAUUAUCUGUACUCUCUGGACAUCUACCUCUCUCAAGACCACUGCAAACAUUAUGUGCUGAAAGAAGUGAUGAGCAUUCACUGCACUGACUUCAAAGGGAGAUGUGUAUGCUUGGCAUCUCAGAGGAACAAGGCACUACCUUCAGGCGACCACCCCAAAAUUAAGCAAUUGAGAAAGUGUCUACCAUCAAAAAUGUGAACCUUAAACAUCAGGUAAAACCAAAGUAAAUAAUAUAAAUAAAUGUACCCUGGCUCUGA